rnacentral:rRNA from 1 species
UACGUAGGGUGCAAGCGUUGUCCGGAAUUACUGGGCGUAAAGCGCGUGUAGGCGGCUCGGCAAGUCGGGUGUGAAAGCCCUGGGCUUAACCUAGGAAGUGCACUCGAAACUGCCAAGCUUGAGUUCUGGAGGGGAAGGCGGAAUUCUCGGUGUAGAGGUGAAAUUCGUAGAUAUCGAGAGGAACACCGGUGGCGAAGGCGGCCUUCUGGACAGCAACUGACGCUGAGACGCGAAAGCGUGGGGAGCAAACAGG